rnacentral:rRNA from 1 species
GAUGAACGCUGGCGGCGUGCCUAAUACAUGCAAGUCGAGCGAACGGACGAGAAGCUUGCUUCUCUGAUGUUAGCGGCGGACGUGUGAGUAACACGUGGAUAACCUACCUAUAAUACUGGGAUAACUUCGGGAAACCGGAGCUAAUACCGGAUGAUAUUUUGAACCGCAUGGUUCAAAAGUGAAAGACGGUCUUGCUGUCACUUAUAGAUGGAUCCGCGCUGCAUUAGCUAGUUGGUAAGGUAACGGCUUACCAAGGCAACGAUGCAUAGCCGACCUGAGAGGGUGAUCGGCCACACUGGAACUGAGACACGGUCCAGACUCCUACGGGAGGCAGCAGUAGGGAAUCUUCCGCAAUGGGCGAAAGCCUGACGGAGCAACGCCGCGUGAGUGAUGAAGGUCUUCGGAUCGUAAAACUCUGUUAUUAGGGAAGAACAUAUGUGUAAGUAACUGUGCACAUCUUGACGGUACCUAAUCAGAAAGCCACGGCUAACUACGUG